GGCUUCGUAGCUCAGUUGGUAGACCGCUUGCCGCGUUGAGGCAUGCCGUGUCUGUCGCUGGUUCAAAUCCAGCCGAAGCCC
rnacentral:tRNA from 1 species